rnacentral:rRNA from 1 species
AUUGAACGCUGGCGGCAGGCCUAACACAUGCAAGUCGAACGGUAACAGGAAGCAGCUUGCUGCUUUGCUGACGAGUGGCGGACGUGUGAGUAAUGUCUGUGAAACUGCCUGAUGGAGGGGGAUAACUACUGGAAACGGUAGCUAAUACCGCAUAAUGUCGCAAGCCCAAAGUGGGGGACCUUCGGGCCUCUUGCCAUCGGCUGUGCCCAGAUGGGAUUAGCUAGUAGGUGGGGUAAAGGCUCACCUAGGCGACGAUCCCUAGCUGGUCUGAGAGGAUGACCAGCCACACUGGAACUGAGACACGGUCCAGACUCCUACGGGAGGCAGCAGUGGGGAAUAUUGCACAAUGGGCGCAAGCCUGAUGCAGCCAUGCCGCGUGUAUGAAGAAGGCCUUCGGGUUGUAAAGUACUUUCAGCGGGGAGGAAGGGAGUAAAGUUAAUACCUUUGCUUAUUGACGUUACCCGCAGAAGAAGCACCGGCUAACUCCGUG